GAGUUCUUUUUGUAGUUUAUUGGUAAAGUUAACACACUUCAGAUGUUGACAUCACAUUUGACCAAUCAGUAGUAGUUCUUCAUCUUCUAAAAAUUAAGGAGCCCUGAUCUUUUUGUAGAGUGCUCUGUGUUCUUUACUGUAGUAUAUACUCCAUCGUGUAAACUAGGUUCUCUUUUACUCGCUAGGCAGGAACUUAGGGUUGGCCACCUAUCGAUGUGUUGAAAUGG
rnacentral:lncRNA from 1 species